AUACGUAGGUGGCAAGCGUUGUCCGGAAUUAUUGGGCGUAAAGCGCGCGCAGGCGGUCCUUUAAGUCUGAUGUGAAAGCCCACGGCUCAACCGUGGAGGGUCAUUGGAAACUGGGGGACUUGAGUGCAGAAGAGGAAAGUGGAAUUCCAAGUGUAGCGGUGAAAUGCGUAGAGAUUUGGAGGAACACCAGUGGCGAAGGCGACUUUCUGGUCUGUAACUGACGCUGAGGCGCGAAAGCGUUGGGAGCAAACAGGAUUAGAUACCCUGGUAGUCCACGCCGUAAACGAUGAGUGCUAAGUGUUAGGGGGUUUCCGCCCCUUAGUGCUGCAGCUAACGCAUUAAGCACUCCGCCUGGGGAGUACGGUCACAAGACUGAAACUCAAAUGAAUUGACGGGG
rnacentral:rRNA from 1 species